rnacentral:rRNA from 1 species
AUUGAACGCUGGCGGCAGGCCUAACACAUGCAAGUCGAACGGUAACAGAAAGCAGCUUGCUGCUUUGCUGACGAGUGGCGGACGGGUGAGUAAUGUCUGGGAAACUGCCUGAUGGAGGGGGAUAACUACUGGAAACGGUAGCUAAUACCGCAUAACGUCGCAAGACCAAAGAGGGGGACCUUCGGGCCUCUUGCCAUCGGAUGUGCCCAGAUGGGAUUAGCUAGUAGGUGGGGUAAAGGCUCACCUAGGCGACGAUCCCUAGCUGGUCUGAGAGGAUGACCAGCCACACUGGAACUGAGACACGGUCCAGACUCCUACGGGAGGCAGCAGGGGGGAAUAUUGCACAAUGGGCGCAAGCCUGAUGCAGCCAUGCCGCGUGUAUGAAGAAGGCCUUCGGGUUGUAAAGUACUUUCAGCGGGGAGGAAGGGAGUAAAGUUAAUACCUUUGCUCAUUGACGUUACCCGCAGAAGAAGCACCGGCUAACUCCGU